UGAUGCUUUGAGCAGAAAAUCCAUCACAGCUUUGAGAUCAUUGAAUGCCUGUCUAUCAUUGGCUCGAGAUAGAGUUAUUUUGGCUGAGUUAUAAGUGAGGCCAAACCUGCUACAGUAGAUUUUAGAUGGGCAGAAGGUAGAUGAGAAGUUAAUGGCUACUAUGAGCAAAAUCUCAGAAGGGAAGACAACUGACUAUGAAGUGAAAGCAGAUGGGUGUCUGCACUACAAAGGAAGAGUGUGUGUACCAGAUGAUGGGAAAUUGAAAGCCAGUAUCCUGAAAGAGGCACACACCAGUGUUUAU
rnacentral:misc_RNA from 1 species